rnacentral:lncRNA from 1 species
UCUCCAGGAAGGGAAUUUUCUAUUGGAAAGAUGAAUAAUGUAAGAGAUGUCUCUGUUGCUACAUCAAUUGUCGGAAUAAAUUAAGUCCAUCUUGACUUUGCCUUCUACAGGAACUAGUUCUCAGUGGCAGAAGUGAAAUAAACUCAAUACCCAGAAAGUUUGGCUACUCAGAAUCUUCACUGCAAAAAUUUGUCUUCUGUCAUACAAAAUAAUCAUGGUGUCUCUGAAAAGCACAGUACUAUGGAAAGCUAUUUGGGAUUAACAACACCCAAUAGCCUCGGGAAAAAGCCUCAACUGCAAUUCAGGGAAAUGUGACGCACUCUUCAAGAGGGGCCAGCUAAAUUAUCUGACCUUGCACAAUGGAUGACCUCCAACAGUGAUGCAGAAGGGCUCCUCCCAGUCAAUUUUCCAAGACUAUGCAGAGUAAAGCCAUGGCUCUUGAGUGCCCUUAGGAAAUGAAUCAUUUUAAAUGGCUGAACCUGAUUCCUGAGAAUUUACUGCUAGGGGUUGGGAAGUUUACUGAAUUAAGUAUUUCUCUAUUCCUUUAAAUAGAAAUGGUGAACAUAUUAACCUUUCUCAGAGGCUUGGGGUGAACUUUGGUUUUUGUGGCAGAAUAGAUAGGAAACUGCUUUGGUGGAGUGGAAAAAUAACUGGAUU